AGUGAACGCUGGCGGUAGGCCUAACACAUGCGAGUCGAACGGCAGCACAGUAAGAGCUUGCUCUUACGGGUGGCGAGUGGCGGACGGGUGAGGAAUACAUCGGAAUCUACUUUUUCGUGGGGGAUAACGUAGGGAAACUUACGCUAAUACCGCAUACGACCUACGGGUGAAAGCAGGGGAUCUUCGGACCUUGCGCGAUUGAAUGAGCCGAUGUCGGAUUAGCUAGUUGGCGGGGUAAAGGCCCACCAAGGCGACGAUCCGUAGCUGGUCUGAGAGGAUGAUCGGCCACACUGGAACUGAGACACGGUCCAGACUCCUACGGGAGGCAGCAGUGGGGAAUAUUGGACAAUGGGCGCAAGCCUGAUCCAGCCAUACCGCGUGGGUGAAGAAGGCCUUCGGGUUGUAAAGCCCUUUUGUUGGGAAAGAAAAGCAGCAGGUUAAUACCCCGCUGUUCUGACGGUACCCAAAGAAUAAGCACCGGCUAACUUCGUG
rnacentral:rRNA from 1 species